rnacentral:lncRNA from 1 species
CCCCACGCAGGGCCCGGGCACGGAAAACAUCCCGAGGGCCGGGAUCAGGGAUGAGGGCUGGGAUUCCCACCUGCCCACGGAGAGGAGCUGACGAGGAGAACGGAGGAGAUGGAAUGCCCAGGGGAUGGAUGCCCACCCAGAACUGGAAUUUCCCAAAAGAUGGAUGCCAGAACCAGAAUUGGACUCAAAACCAGAACGCCAAGGGGAUGGACACGCAGUGAUCCCACCGGAAUGCCCAGAGGAUGGAUGCCCACUGGUCCCACUGGGAUGCCCAGGGGAUGGACGCCCACCCAGAACUGGGAUGCCCAGGGAUGGACACACAAUGAUCCCACCAGAAUGCCAAUGGGGAUGGAUGCCCACCCAGAACAGGGAUGCCAGGGGAUGGAUGCCCACUGGUCCCACUGGGAUGCCAGGGGAUGGACGCCCACCCAGAACUGGGAUGCCCAGGGAUGGACACACAAUGAUCCCACUGGAAUGCCAAUGGGGAUUGAUGCCCACCCAGAACUGGAAUUUCCCGAAAGAUGGAUGCCAGAACCAGAAUUGGACUCAGAACCAGAACGCCAAGGGGAUGGACACGCAGUGAUCCCACCGGAAUGCCCAGAGGAUGGAUGCCCACUGGUCCCACUGGGAUGCCCAGGGGAUGGAUGCCCACCCAGAACAGGGAUGCCAGGGGAUGGAUGCCCACUGAUCCCACCGGAAUGCCCAGGGGAUGCACGCCCACCCAGAACUGGAAUUCCCCAAGGGAUGGAUGCCAUCUCAGAACCAGAACACCAAGGGGAUGGACACACAAUGAUCCCACCGGAAUGCCCAGAGGAUGGAUGCCCACCCAGAACCAGGAUGCCAGGGGAUGGAUGCCCACUGAUCCAACCAGAAUUCCCAGGGUAUGGACACACACUGAGGACUGGGAUGCCAGGGAAAGGACACCCACUCAGGACUGGGAUGCCAGGGGGGUGGAUGCCCACUGAUCCCAAUGGAAUGCCAGGGGAUGGACACCCACUAAUUCCAACAGAAUUCCCAGGGGGAUGGACGCCCACUCAGGAUUGGGAUGCCCAGGGGAUGGACAUGCACUGAUCCCACCGGGAUGCCAGGGGAUGGAUGCCCACCCAUGCCACUGGGAUGAGCCAUUCCCAGAAUCCCGGCAGUGGCGGCGCACUUCCCAAAAACCCAGCCCGGAAGAAGGCCCGAGGUGGGAAAAUGGGCAGGGCUGGGAUGGGAGCGGAGAAUUCCUGAGGGCUGCGAGAAACUGGGGCAACUGGGGAGGAUCCCUGAUGGUCCAGUGGAUCCCUGAAGCUGUGGAU